ensembl:rRNA 5S_rRNA 5S ribosomal RNA
GUCUACGGCCAUACCACCCUGAACGCGCCCGAUCUCGUCUGAUCUCGGAAGCUAAGCAGGGUCGGGCCUGGUUAGUACUUGGAUGGGAGAAAGAUGGUUGGGUAUCAGUAUGAAAACAGGUUCUUUCUAUA